rnacentral:ncRNA from 1 species
GUUAAUAUUCGGCAAAGCAGGCGAAAGCCUGUGACGCAAAGCUAUAGGGACUUUCACAUGUCAGCCAGUUGCACUU